rnacentral:lncRNA from 1 species
AAGCAAUCCUCUGGCUUCACCUUCCCAAGUGUCUAGGACUACAGGCUUUGGCCGUGGAGUGGGAGCUACACUAUCAGAUCUCCUGGUUCUCAGGCCUUCAGAAUAAGACUGAAUUACACCACUGGCUUUCCUGGGGCUCCAGCUUGCAGACGGCACAUAAUAGGACUUCUUGCCUCCAUAAUCGUAAGCUCCACAAGGGCUGGGAUCCUGUGUGUCUCAUUCCCCACUGUGUCAUCAAGUGCCCAGCACAAAACAGAGCUCAGCAAAUGCUUGUCGAAUAAAUGAAUGAAAACGUGCUCAGCACAGGGAGGUAAAGGACAUUUUAUCUGCACUCAAGAUAAUGUGAUAUGGAGGAAAAAAGCACUGGACUGGGACCCAGAAGGACUGAGUCUUGUCUGGACUGACACCAACGAGCCAUGGGUUUGCUAGAGCAGAGGUGGCAGAGUGGAGUGGUAGUGAGUAGCAGGAGCGCUGCAGACAGACUAGCCACUGAGUGUCUGCUUCCACUACUUACUGGUUAUGUGUCUUAGACAAAUUACUGACCUUUGUGUUUUAUAUUGUCCUUAAGUGUAAAAUGGGAAUCAUAAAUGUACCUACUUCGUAGGACUGCUUCAAGUGUAAGAUGAGGUAAUUGACAUUAAAA